GACCACUCCGGUAGUAUUAGUGGUUAGAGCAUCCGCUUCGGAUGCAGAUGGUCGUGGGUUCGAACCCCGAUAGAGUCA